GACCAUUGCAUUCAGAAAAGAUCAACUUAGAAUUUGAUACACAGCACUUGAAUACCGGCAUUUAUACAUGCAAUAUUUGACUGGGCUAUUAAUGUUUGAACGUUGAACUACUGUUUUUGAAAAAGCCAAAAAUUUGCACAAAAAAUAACAUUAUAAUUACUGAUGUAUAGCCUAGUAUACUUGUUAAAUAAUAAAUAUUUUUAUUUUGGUAGCAUCUCGCUCAAUAUUGCAUGUAAAUUCAAGUGUUAUUGAUCAAAAUCUAAGUUAGUCCUUUCUGAAUGCAAUGAUCUUUAUUUUAUUGCGAUAGCUUUUAUAGCUUUUACGUUACAUGAAAUCAAACAGUGUCCAGUUUUUUUUUUUGGACACCCGAUAGAACAAUAGUAACUAGGCCUGUUGGUUACCUAAAUAUGUGAAUUGGGUGGCAACGAUGUAAAUAAUACAAGACAAUUCUGUUUAUGGAAAUGAGUAUUUCAGUGGCCGUGUGAAUUGAAAAAAUAAUUAACAAUUAUUCGCCGAAGGCGAGGUGAUUAUCGGGGAAUAUUCGCCGAGACGAAGUCGAGGUGAAUAUUCCCCGAUAAUCACCAAGCCUGAGGCGAAUAAUUGUUUUAGUAUUUUUACACAAGUCUUUUGUGUUUUUUGGGACUGGAUUUAUUUUAAUUCGCUUAUUCUUUAUCAGUAACUUCCAUGCAAAACGGCUAGCCGCCAUUUUGAAAAUUUUGGUUCUGUUAUAAUAUUCACCAAUAGGUGAACAUAACAGCUUAAUGAAUACGUCAAAUUUGUCCAACCAGCUUGUGGGAU